rnacentral:rRNA from 1 species
CAUGUUAACUAGUAUAAGCAACUAUACAGUGAAACUGCGAAUGGCUCAUUAAAUCAGUUAUCGUUUAUUUGAUAGUACCUUACUACUUGGAUAACCGUGGUAAUUCUAGAGCUAAUACAUGCUAAAAAUCCCGACCUCUGGAAGGGAUGUAUUUAUUAGAUAAAAAACCAAUGCCUUCGGGCUCCUUGGUGAUUCAUGAUAACUUAACGAAUCGCAUGGCCUUGCGCCGGCGAUGGUUCAUUCAAAUUUCUGCCCUAUCAACUUUCGAUGGUAGGAUAGUGGCCUACCAUGGUUUCAACGGGUAACGGGGAAUUAGGGUUCGAUUCCGGAGAGGGAGCCUGAGAAACGGCUACCACAUCCAAGGAAGGCAGCAGGCGCGCAAAUUACCCAAUCCCAAUUCGGGGAGGUAGUGACAAUAAAUACUGAUACAGGGCUCUUUUGGGUCUUGUAAUUGGAAUGAGUACAAUUUAAAUCCCUUAACGAGGAACAAUUGGAGGGCAAGUCUGGUGCCAGCAGCCGCGGUAAUUCCAGCUCCAAUAGCGUAUAUUAAAGUUGUUGCAGUUAAAAAGCUCGUAGUUGAACCUUGGGCCUGGCUGCUCGGUCCGCCUAACCGCGUGCACUGAUGCGGCCGGGUCUUUCCUUCUGGCUAACCGCAUGCUCUUUACUGGGUGUGCUGGGGAUCCAGGACUUUUACUUUGAAAAAAUUAGAGUGUUCAAAGCAGGCCUUUGCUCGAAUACAUUAGCAUGGAAUAAUAGAAUAGGACGUGCGGUUCUAUUUUGUUGGUUUCUAGAGCCACCGUAAUGAUUAAUAGGGAUAGUCGGGGGCAUCAGUAUUCAAUUGUCAGAGGUGAAAUUCUUGGAUUUAUUGAAGACUAACUACUGCGAAAGCAUUUGCCAAGGAUGUUUUCAUUAAUCAGUGAACGAAAGUUAGGGGAUCGAAGACGAUCAGAUACCGUCGUAGUCUUAACCAUAAACUAUGCCGACUAGGGAUCGGGCGGUGCUCUAACUUAUGACCCGCUCGGCACCUUACGAGAAAUCAAAGUUUUUGGGUUCUGGGGGGGAGUAUGGUCG